rnacentral:lncRNA from 1 species
AAGAAGUCAGGCCGGAUUAAGCCAUAGUACGGUAAAAGCUAUGCUGCCUGUGAGCCCCGUCUAAGGACGUAAAAUGAAGUCAGGCCGAAAGCCACGGCUUGAGCAAACCGUGCUGCCUGUAGCUCCAUCGUGGGGAUGUAAAAACCUGGGAGGCUGCAACCCAUGGAAGCUGUACGCAUGGGGUAGCAGACUAGUGGUUAGAGGAGACCCCUCCCGAAACAUAACGCAGCAGCGGGGCCCAACACCAGGGGAAGCUGUACCCUGGUGGUAAGGACUAGAGGUUAGAGGAGACCCCCCGCAUAACAAUAAAC